ACAGCUCAACCUCGGAAAGGACUUAUUUUUACUGAACCAUUACACAGCUGGUGUGAUACUGUUUGGAAAAGGAGAAAGCGUUAGACAGCACAGUUUGCGGAGGACUGACUUCAACAACUAUGAAGCCAUACUUUCUUUUGUAAAUGUUGGUGGAGUACACUGGAAGUUACUGAAACAACCAGUAUACAUAGAACAACCAACAAAUCCCUGAGAAAUUUUGAAAGAAGACAUCUUUGGGAUUACAUGAGGAUGCGCAUGAUUGUCCAUGGCAAGAACGACUGGGGAAGAGUCAGAUGGAGAGGAGGAGUCAUGGACCAUCCUGUGCAACGUGACAAGUGUAGUUGCGGGGUCAUCGUCACCAUGUGUUAGAUCUGGACAACCACUGUGUGAUGUGCUCUGCCUCAAAGCCCCCUGGACCAGGGCCUCCAGCUGGUGGGUGAGUUUUUGUGACUGUUUCUUGUACAUUUAUCAAUUGGGGUUUAUUGUAUAGUUAUAGAAGAAUUUUCUUGGAAUUUUCUAAACUUAGCACCAAGCCACCAAAACCAAUGUCAAGGGCUACCUUACUUCCCAAGAUACAUAAAAACUAUAAAUGAAAAAGAUACUAAAUGUUGACACUAUGACUAAAAUAAUGGAUUAAAAGUGUAACUGUGCCCUUCCACUGUAAUAUUUGGUGUCCAGAACUGUAGUCUAUUGUCCUCUACACAGAUAGAGACCCUAGAUUUUGAAAACAAAAUGCUGUGGUAUACUGCAGUGCAAACCUGAUGAAGACAUAUCUUUCU